GGCUUGUCUCCCAACUCCCUCUCUUGGCACCCUGCAAUAAAGCCUCACUUUGCUGCCAACACCCGCUGUCAGAGUUGGACUUCCUGUGCUGUGGAUACAUGCGAGCCCUUUUUGCUUGGUUACAGAAGUAUGGACCCAUUCUCCUGGGUGGAGAUGAACAGGAGAGGUGCUGGGGAGAAGAGGGCAGCAGGUGGCCUGGUGAGCUGGGCAAGGAUAUUAAAACAAGGAUGUAAGCCUUGAGCAGCCAUGAGUGGCCACAUGGAAAGAGUGUGCCUGGGAGCACAGCCAACCUCAAGGAAAGCAGAGAUGAGAAUUUCUCCAGAGAGAGAUCUUUCGAUCAAGCCCUAAGGCCAUUUUUGGAAUCUGCAGGAGGGAAGAGGAAAAGAAACAUCAGCGUUCCCCUAAACUCUCUUCAGAAUCGUCUUCAUCAGUCUUCUCUCUGCCCUCACUUCUAUAUGGAGCCGAAGGCGGGUGUUGGGCAGCCAUUCAUGGUCUGUUUGGAGCCCCUUUUGGCAGGUCCUGCAAGCACAAGUAGUUCCCUGAAGUCUCUUCAUGUCUUCACCUUUGGACAGCAAUCAGAACUCUGUGGGAGCAGAAAAGCCCCGUCUUUAACAUCUUGUUAUAUGAGUAUUGUUGGCUGAUUCCGAUAAAUAAGGAAAACGAAGCUCAGAGACGUCGAGUAACUUUCCAAGAAUACAGAGCUAAAGUCAAGCCCCAGUUUGUCUGGCUUCAAAUCUUCCUCCCACUUUCUACUAUCCCAACCUAGGGGGUGUUAUGGCUGGGCAGGCAGAUGGCUCCUAGUGUUGGGCUCUAGGCAGCUUGUGCUGGGAUUCAGGUCCAUGACUCCAGCUCUGGCAGGCUGUGGGCAGGGCGGUCCCACAUCCAGAGUGACAUUUAUCUGGAAAGUGUGGCUCAGGGUCUAGGCUUACAGUAAUGGAUUGAGUGCCCACUGUGUGUUAUUGUGCUUCAUCCAGAUACGAAACUGACGACCAGCCAGAGCUAAUGAUACCUGCGGCUGGAUGCCUUCUUGUCCUCCUUUCCUGAGUCAGGACUGACCCUUGGGAUGGGGUGAGGCUGAGGCUGGCCAGCAGGGAAUCCCAGCUGUUAGGAGCAGAGAAAGGCAGUGUCAGAAGCCAGACCCAUACACCUUUCUCCCACAUCCAUCCAUCCGG
ensembl:lncRNA